rnacentral:rRNA from 1 species
CCUACGGGACGCAGCAGUGAGGAAUAUUGGUCAAUGGGAGAGAUCCUGAACCAGCCAAGCCGCGUGAGGGAAGACGGCCCUAUGGAUUGUAAACCUCUUUUGUCGGGGAGCAAGGCCCGCCACGUGUGGCGGGAAGGAGAGUACCCGAAGAAAAAGCAUCGGCUAACUCCGUGCCAGCAGCCGCGGUAAUACGGAGGAUGCGAGCGUUAUCCGGAUUUAUUUGGUUUAAAGGGUGCGUAGGCGGAAGGUUAAGUCAGCGGGCAAAUGUGGGUGCUCAACACCGGCCUGCCGUUGAAACUGGUCUU